GAUGAACGCUGGCGGCGUGCCUAAUACAUGCAAGUCGAGCGAACGGACGAGAAGCUUGCUUCUCUGAUGUUAGCGGCGGACGGGUGAGUAACACGUGGAUAACCUACCUAUAAGACUGGGAUAACUUCGGGAAACCGGAGCUAAUACCGGAUGAUAUUUUGAACCGCAUGGUUCAAAAGUGAAAGACGGUCUUGCUGUCACUUAUAGAUGGAUCCGCGCUGCAUUAGCUAGUUGGUAAGGUAACGGCUUACCAAGGCAACGAUGCAUAGCCGACCUGAGAGGGUGAUCGGCCACACUGGAACUGGGACACGGUCCAGACUCCUACGGGAGGCAGCAGUAGGGAAUCUUCCGCAAGGGGCGAAAGCCUGACGGAGCAACGCCGCGUGAGUGAUGAAGGUCUUCGGAUCGUAAAACUCUGUUAUUAGGGAAGAACAUAUGUGUAAGGAACUGUGCACAUCGUGACGGUACCUAAUCAGAAAGCCACGGCUAACUACGUG
rnacentral:rRNA from 1 species